rnacentral:tRNA from 2 species
GGGGGUAGUUGGGGGCUUGGUGCCUUCCUUGGACUUCAAAUCCAAUGGUCGGCCUCAGAGGUCGACGGUGGGUUCGAUUCCCACAUACUCCCGCCA